CACACACAUACACACACACACACACACACAUACACUGAUCCAUACGCUCACAUACAUUCACUCACAUGCACAAUUUUUAAAACAGCUACUAAGGAAAGAUGAUUCAUUUGUGAGAUAGAGGGAGACGUAGUCAGGAACAGAGAGCAAUAUAAAUGUGGGAGAUCCUAACACCAUUAGGGGGUGGCAGGGUGGAUUCAAACCCGAGGCCCCCUACACACACAGCACAAGUCUACACCCCAGUCCUGUUCUCCAAACCCCAGAUACCCACAUCCGUCCAGCCCAGAAUCUUUGCAGAUGUUGUUCCCACUGGGUACCAGGUUCCCUGCCUCCAGCUCCGCGGUGGUCUCCUGACCCUCCUCAUCCUUCCGACUUCAGCUUAGACUCCCCUGGAAGGCUCCCAGGCCCUCAGAGGAGCUGGACGGCUGUACCCACUGAACAGAGGCAGUGACAUUGACAACGGAUGUCACUCCAGCCUGCCUCUAACAGAUGCCUGCCUGUUCUGAAGCAGACACCUGGAUGUUUGUGACCCUUCCCUACCUGCGUGUCAGGAAGAGGAGGAGGCCAGGACAGACCUACACCAACAGGGGGUCCUAAGCAAGGGUCUGAAAUGAGAGGUUGAUCAGCUACUGCUGCUAAAGCCUGCAGAGAAAGAAAAGGAACUAAGUGGCUGCCCAGGAGUUUACAACCUAAAGAGAAAAGCAUGACAAGAGUGACCAGUGAUGGGACGAGAGACCAGUGACCAGUGACGAGAGAGCUGAAGGGGAAGCAGUCCUGGAGUGGAGAGGCUUCGAACACUAUACCGCAGAGGAGGCUGGUUCGCCUGCCCUCAGCAGCCUGGAACCUUGGAUUUGGGACAGCUCAACUUGCAUGCUUCAUGCAGCAGCUGUGCUCUGACCUGAGGGAAGAAACAGGGCCCAAACCGGAGUGGCCCAGCGCAGGAACGCAGCCCCCGGGGUCCAGCCAUCUGAAAAACAGGCUGAAGGACCCUCACAUCAUGAACCACUCCACACAGCCACCCCCUCGGAGGGAAACUCACUCAGGCAUGGCCAUCUCGACAUUGCUAUGCGCUUUACCUCGUGUUAAAAUUCUGAACGUUCACAUUGUUGAAACAACACUGGGAGAGAGAAAGUGUGUUUGUGG
rnacentral:lncRNA from 1 species